rnacentral:rRNA from 1 species
ACGGAAGGCAGCAGUGGGGAAUAUUGCACAAUGGGGGAAACCCUGAUGCAGCGACGCCGCGUGAGUGAAGGAGUUAUUCGUAAUGUAAAGCUCUAUCAGCAGGGAAGAAAAUGACGGUACCUGACUAAGAAGCCCCGGCUAACUACGUGCCAGCAGCCGCGGUAAUACGUAGGGGGCAAGCGUUAUCCGGAUUUACUGGGUGUAAAGGGAGCGUAGACGGUCUGGCAAGUCUGAUGUGAAAGGCAGGGGCUCAACUCCUGGACUGCAUUGGAAACUGUCAGUCUUGAGUGUCGGAGAGGUAAGCGGAAUUCCUAGUGUAGCGGUGAAAUGCGUAGAUAUUAGGAGGAACACCAGUGGCGAAGGCGGCUUACUGGACGAUAACUGACGUUGGGGCUCGAAAGCGUGGGGAGCAAACAGGAUUAGAUACCCUGGUA